rnacentral:rRNA from 1 species
AUUCGAAGCAACGCGAAGAACCUUACCAGCCCUUGACAUGGCAGGACGGUUUCCGGAGACGGAUUCCUUCACUUCGGUGAACCUGCACACAGGUGCUUGCAUGGCUUGUCGUCAGCUCGUGUCGUGAGAUGUUGGGUUAAGUCCCGCAACGAGCGCAACCCUCGCCCUUAGUUGCCAUCAUUUAGUUGGGCACUCUAAGGGGACUGCCGGUGAUAAGCCGGAGGAAGGUGGGGAUGACGUCAAGUCUUCAUGGCCCUUACGGGCUGGGCUACACACGUGCUACAAUGGCGGUGACAGAGGGUUGCUACACAGCGAUGUGAUGCUAAUCCCUAAAAGCCGUCUCAGUUCGGAUUGCACUCUGCAACUCGGGUGCAUGAAGUCGGUAAUCGUCAUAGU